AAAAAAACAAAACCUGGGUCUACGUGUCCAACGUUUGACUGUCCGUUUUAUAUGAAAUUUUUUUAUAAUUAGUAUUUUCAUUGUUGUUAGAUGAUAAAACAUGAUUAAUACUUUAUGUGUGACUUAUCCUUUUAAUUUUUUUCAUAUUUUUUUCAAAUAAGACGGACAGUCAAACGUUGGACACGGAAACCCAGGGUUUGUCUUUUU
rfam:Oryza sativa (indica cultivar-group) chromosome 9, whole genome shotgun sequence.